rnacentral:rRNA from 1 species
AUGAACGCUGGCGGCGUGCUUAACACAUGCAAGUCGAACGGUGAAGGCGGAGCUUGCUCUGCUGGAUCAGUGGCGAACGGGUGAGUAACACGUAGCAAUCUGCCCCUGACUCUGGGAUAAGCGCUGGAAACGGCGUCUAAUACUGGAUACGAGCUGCGAAGGCAUCUUCAGCAGCUGGGAAGAAUUUCGGUCAGGGAUGAGCUCGCGGCCUAUCAGCUUGUUGGUGAGGUAAUGGCUCACCAAGGCGUCGACGGGUAGCCGGCCUGAGAGGGUGACCGGCCACACUGGGACUGAGACACGGCCCAGACUCCUACGGGAGGCAGCAGUGGGGAAUAUUGCACAAUGGGCGAAAGCCUGAUGCAGCAACGCCGCGUGAGGGACGACGGCCUUCGGGUUGUAAACCUCUUUUAGCAGGGAAGAAGCGAAAGUGACGGUACCUGCAGAAAAAGCGCCGGCUAACUAC